UUGCCAUUCACAGUAUCAAUG
rnacentral:miRNA from 1 species